AUUGAACGCUGGCGGCGUGCCUAACACAUGCAAGUCGAGCGGUAACAGGUGUAGCAAUACAUGCUGACGAGCGGCGAACGGGUGAGUAAUGCUUCGGAAUCUGCCCAUGUAGUGGGGAAUAACCAGCCGAAAGGUUGGCUAAUACCGCAUACGACCCUUGCCCACAAGGCAAAGGUGAAAGCAGGGGAUCGCAAGACCUUGCGCUAUUGGAUGAGCCGAAGUCGGAUUAGCUAGUUGGUAGGGUAACGGCCUACCAAGGCGACGAUCCGUAGCUGGUCUGAGAGGACGACCAGCCACACUGGGACUGAGACACGGCCCAGACUCCUACGGGAGGCAGCAGUGGGGAAUAUUGGACAAUGGGCGAAAGCCUGAUCCAGCCAUGCCGCGUGAGUGAUGAAGGCC
rnacentral:rRNA from 1 species